GAAAGCUGGAAUAGACAACCAGAAGCGGCAGAUUCAAACCACUACAAAUGCCGGAGGAAAGAUCACAGAAGCGCUUCACCGGAGGCUCCCAAGCACUGAGGAUGUCACCUAGACAGGGGACGAAACGUCUGCAACACAAAUUCCCAGCUCGGCGAACAGAACCACAACAACGAGCACCCGAGCUACAAAUCUUUUCACAAAGUUUGAACUGGCCUUCUGGUUAAAACUCGUGUUGUACAUCAGGUGUAUUUGAUGGGGUCAGGACCCGGAAAUGUACCCGUGCCAGAGUCGCAAUCCCAGAAUGAAAAUUCAGCCCAUGGUCUACAUUUCAUAUUUUGAUCUAUUAUUUCAAAUCUGUUCAUGUUAAAUUGAACAGAAAUGUCCUCACUGUGCCACCGCAUUUGUUACCGAUGGUCUUCAUUGAGAGUUAUUGGUCUAGUUUGAUCUUCAAAGCAAGAAAUAAAAGUGGUGUCUAUCAGAGCCUAUAGACUUCAAAGUCACUUUGGUUUAGAUGCACGUCAAUGCCUUUUGACUCAAAAACUCUGGAUGUUGAGUUCUUCAGCAUCAGGUUUGCCACCAAGUAAAGAAGAUGACAGUGGAUACCGGUUCACAGAAAGCUGUAUUUUUCUAAAUACAGAUCAUACCCAUGGCAAAACAGAACUGCCUUGUGUGGUGAAAGAUGUACAAUCUGUGGAAUUAGAUGUUCCACCUUAUUCUCCAUUUGAUGAAUUACCUGAAGAAGAGGCUUUGCAAAUUGAGGCAAGUCCUUCACCCCCUCCUACCUCAUUUACCUUGUGUGACUAUGUUGACCAAUCAGAGACGCUAACCAAGCUGGUCCUUCUAGGACUCGUGCGGAAUGACACACUGUAUGAAGAUGAUGAUGUGCAAGAAGCUAUAAAACGAUUACCUGAAAACCUUUACAAUGAGUGAAUGUUCCGCAUAAAGCGAGCUUUGGAUUUGAGCCUGAAGCAUCCAAUCCUUCCAAAGGAGAUGUGGACAAAAUAUGAGCAGAAUAGUGCCGUGAAUUUUUCAUCCCGUCCAAAGAGACAGCUGGGACCUCUUCACAACUACACUCAAUGUCCAUCUUUAUUUUCACGAUCAAGAUCUGCAGCGGGUAUUGAACCUGUGACCUUGUGAU